CCUACGGGGGGCAGCAGUGAGGAAUAUUGGUCAAUGGCCGGAAGGCUGAACCAGCCAUGCCGCGUGAAGGUCAGUGCCCUAUGGGCGUUAAACUUCUUUUGUGCGGGAGCAAUAAUGGUCACGUGUGGCCAGACGAGAGUACCGUACGAAUAAGCAUCGGCUAACUCCGUGCCAGCAGCCGCGGGAAUACGGGGGAUGCAAGCGUUAUCCGGAUUUAUUGGGUUUAAAGGGUGCGUAGGCUGUGAGGUAAGUCAGCGGGGAAAUGCCCACGCUCAACGGGGUGAAGUGCCAUUGAUACUGCCUUGCUGGAAUGCGGAUGCCGUGGGAGGAAUGUGUGGUGUAGCGGUGAAAUGCAUAGAUAUCACACAGAACACCGAUUGCGAAGGCAUCUCACGAAUCCGCGAUUGACGCUGAUGCACGAAAGCGUGGGUAUCAAACAGGAUUAGAUACCCUGGUAGUC
rnacentral:rRNA from 1 species